UGGGGAAUUUUUCGCAAUGGGCGAAAGCCUGACGAAGCAACGCCGCGUGGAGGAUGAAGGCCUUCGGGUCGUAAACUCCUGUCGACCGGGACGAAAGUAGGAUGGCCUAAUACGCCGAUCUAUUGACUGUACCGGUGGAGGAAGCCACGGCUAACUCUGUGCCAGCAGCCGCGGUAAUACAGAGGUGGCAAGCGUUGUUCGGAAUUACUGGGCGUAAAGGGCGCGUAGGCGGCUUGGUCAGUCCCGUGUGAAAUCCCUCGGCUCAACUGAGGAACUGCACGGGAAACUGCCUGGCUUGAGUUCGGGAGAGGGAAGCGGAAUUCCGGGUGUAGCGGUGAAAUGCGUAGAUAUCCGGAGGAACACCGGUGGCGAAGGCGGCUUCCUGGACCGACACUGACGCUGAGGCGCGAAAGCUAGGGGAGCAAACGG
rnacentral:rRNA from 1 species